rnacentral:rRNA from 1 species
UAGGGAAUCUUCCGCAAUGGGCGAAAGCCUGACGGAGCAACGCCGCGUGAGUGAUGAAGGUCUUCGGAUCGUAAAACUCUGUUAUUAGGGAAGAACAAAUGCGUAAGUAACUAUGCACGUCUUGACGGUACCUAAUCAGAAAGCCACGGCUAACUACGUGCCAGCAGCUGCGGUAAUACGUAGGUGGCAAGCGUUAUCCGGAAUUAUUGGGCGUAAAGCGCGCGUAGGCGGUUUUUUAAGUCUGAUGUGAAAGCCCACGGCUCAACCGUGGAGGGUCAUUGGAAACUGGAAAACUUGAGUGCAGACGAGGAAAGUGGAAUUCCAUGUGUAGCGGUGAAAUGCGCAGAGAUAUGGAGGAACACCGGUUGCGAAGGCGACUUUCUGGUCUGUAACUGACGCUGAUGUGCGAAAGCGUGGGGAUCAAACAGG